UUUAUUUUAUGCAAAACAUUUUCAUCAACAAUAAUGCAUGUUAAUUUCAUCUUAGUCAGCGUUUUUGGACAUUGGCACAGUCUCGUCAUUGUCUCAUCUUAGUCAUGGAAAAAAACAUAUUUAGUCUCGUCUGACGAAAUGAACUUACGAACCCAUUCCCUUGAGCAUGUUUUCCCUGUCCGUCUGGUUUGUUUUUGUGUUUUGUGUUUUACGUUCCUGACUGUCCCCCGUUCUGGUUGCCGAGCAACGAGUGCAAGGCGGAAAAUUCCAGGAUCACCAGAACCUUCUCUCAACCGGAUCCUCGUCAGCAAUCUACACACCUGUUCCUGAUCAUCAUCACUACCACCAUCAUCCAGGCCCUGCCAGAUCGUCCUCUAUAUUUAUAUAGUUGCUGGGAAACGAGUGCAAGGCGGAAAAUUCCAGGAUCACCAGAACCUCCUCUCAACCGGAUCCUCGUCAGCAAUCUACACACCUGUUCCUGAUCAUCAUCACUACCACCAUCAUCCAGGCCCUGCCGGAUCGUUAGCAACACUAUACCUUCCCCCUGGAAUUCCCUUCCCCCCCGGUCUGGUAACCAGAACCAUCAACUUCGUCGUUCCAUCAAGACUCCUGUUCACCAGUACUCACCUCCCAACACAUUCGUCACCACUAUCAGCAUUCCAUCACCCGGACUCACCUGUCUACACGCCUGGCAUUACCUUUUCAAAUAUAUUUUGGUCAUCAAUAAAUACUGACCUUUUUUACCACCA